AUUGAACGCUGGCGGCAGGCUUAACACAUGCAAGUCGAACGAGCGGCGGACGGGUGAGUAAUGUAUGGGGAUCUGCCUGAUGGAGGGGGAUAACUACUGGAAACGGUAGCUAAUACCGCAUACCAUCAGAUGAACCCAUAUGGGAUUAGCUUGUAGGUGAGGUAACGGCUUACCUAGGCGACUAUCCCUAGCUGGUCUGAUAGGAUGAUAUGCCACACUGGGACUGAGCCCCGGCCCAGACUCCUACGGGAGGCAGCAGUGGGGAAUAUUGCACAAUGGGCGCAAGCCUGAUGCAGCCAUGCCGCGUGUAUGAAGAAGGCCUUCGGGUUGUAAAGUACUUUCAGUCGGGAGGCGUUACCGACAGAAGAAGCACCGGCUAACUCCGUGCCAGCCGCCGCGGUAAUAC
rnacentral:rRNA from 1 species